rnacentral:rRNA from 1 species
CUACGGGCUGCUCCAGCCGAGAAUCUUCGGCAAUGGGGGAAACCCUGACCGAGCGACGCCGCGUGCGGGAUGAAGGCCUUCGGGUUGUAAACCGCUGUCGUAGAGGAGGAAAUGCAGGGGGGUUCUCCCCUCUGUUUGACCUAGUCUAGGAGGAAGGACGGGCUAAGUUCGUGCCAGCAGCCGCGGUAAGACGAACCGUCCAAACGUUACUCGGAAUUACUGGGCUUAAAGGGUGCGUAGGCUGCGCAGAAAGUUGGGUGUGAAAUCCCUCGGCUCAACCGGGGAAUUGCAUCCAAAACUACUGUGCUCGAGGGAGACAGAGGUAAGCGGAACUCAAGGUGGAGCGGUGAAAUGCGUUGAUAUCUUGAGGAACACCGGUGGCGAAAGCGGCUUACUGGGUCUCUUCUGACGCUGAGGCACGAAAGCUAAGGUAGCAAACGGGAUUAGAUACCCGGGUAGUC